rnacentral:rRNA from 1 species
ACGGGAGGCAGCAGUGGGGAAUAUUGCACAAUGGGGGAAACCCUGAUGCAGCAACGCCGCGUGAGUGAUGAAGUAUUUCGGUAUGUAAAACUCUAUCAGCAGGGAAGAAACAAGACGGUACCUGACUAAGAAGCACCGGCUAAAUACGUGCCAGCAGCCGCGGUAAUACGUAUGGUGCAAGCGUUAUCCGGAUUUACUGGGUGUAAAGGGAGCGCAGGCGGCCCUGCAAGCCAGAGGUGAAAACCCGGGGCUCAACCCCGCGAAUUGCCUUUGGAACUGUAAGGCUUGAGUACUGGAGGGGCAGGCGGAAUUCCUGGUGUAGCGGUGAAAUGCGUAGAUAUCAGGAGGAACACCGGUGGCGAAGGCGGCUUGCUGGACAGAAACUGACGCUGAGGCUCGAAAGCGUGGGGAGCAAACAGGAUUAGAUACCCUGGUA